UCUAAGCAAAAUAAGUUAGUACCCAGAAGAAAUUGCAACAAUAUAUAGUAAUGAUUUAAAACGUGCAAGGAAUCGAACGAUGCAACUAUUUCGAUUUUCCCUUAGCUAAAAAACAAGAGAAACGUAAUUGAAAAUUCCGUACAAAAAUUCACAUUUUUAAAUCGAACGCCACUGCAAUGACGUAUGUAUUGGCAUAUUUUGACAUGAGAGAUGCCGCUUGCUAUUUUGACAGAUGACGGCCGUGUAUUCAUCUAAAUAAUUGUGUCAUGAAUUCUUACAAAUUUGUUAUUUUGAAGAUUGGAAAUAGGUGCUAAACUUAAUAAAUUAUAAAGUCGUCUACUGUCGAAAACAGAUGCUACUCUUUCUGUCGUACUUGGUGGCGAAGAAACAGAUGUGAAAUUGUACAGUUAAAGAAUAUGAUGUUCGAGGCUGCUGCGUGUACGCUUCGGAGAUUGAAAAUGAAAACGAGUCGCCUGGGGUGUAAUGGAAUAACGUAGAAGAAAAUUCAACCUGCUCGAUUAUCAAAUCAUCUGGUAGGCCACCCCAGAACCGAUUUGUUCGUCUUGUCACAAAGUGGCCACUUUCAAAAAACUGGAGUACAUCGGGAUUGGACACCUUUAACGCGUGCAUAUCUUGAAGAUAAAUUUGAAUGCUCUUCGUGUAGUUAUUGUGACCUGCUGCUGGGAAGAAAGGUAGCAUCGUCUCGACGGACUUUAAAUGGAGCUGAAAAUUGGCUGAAUGCAAAUAACAGAUGAUUAAAAUACUGCGGAAAAAAUUUCGGAAGACAGUCUAACCUGUGCGAUCCGCUCUAACGUUGGUCCUAAAAAUGUCCAACAUUUUCAUGUAUUGUAUCCACAACUCGCAAGUUGCACCUUGCAUUUGUAAUUUGAUUUUUUCCGUGGACAGUGUUGAAUCCAUUUGAAUGAGUUCUUUGUUAUCGUUUAAAUCCAAUGCGCUUAAUUUUUUAUGGGCGACAUUAUCGUACAACGUAGCUGCAAAUUUAAUUGAAAUUUUACUUUUACACUAAAUUAAAUCAUGGAAAAGAAUGUUUCAAACGCGGCAACAUAAUUACACAGCCAAUUUUCGUCAUAGUAAUUUACAAACUUCUGUUAUCCCUAGAGUCGAACGUAGGUUUAGACUUCAAAAGCAUGUAAAAUUCAUUACAAAACUCGGGCUAAGUUACGUUUUCGUGUGAUUGUUGACCUAGGCUUAGCCUCGGAUCAACAAACUUUACUUGCAAAUUCUACUUUUCAGCUUUUUAUCCAUUUUCAUGUAAUUACCUGCCACAUGACAAGGGACGGAAAGCUAAAAAGUUCAGUUUGCGUGUGAUGUUAUACGAAAUUUUAUUUUCUAUCUCGAGUUUCGUAACGAAUAGUACAUGAUUCUAAUCCGACAGAUAUUUUUGAAGUAAAUAGUUUAUCGAAAAUUGGCUGUGGUGUUGGGCAGAGAAGCUUCAAGGGAGUGCAUAUAACACGGAUUAACGAUUGUGAUGUUAUAUUAGUCGAUUUGCCGUCAGUGUCAUUGUUAUUUUGAAUUGAAUAAAGAGCGAAAUUAGUAAAUGAGCCGAAGUA